rnacentral:sRNA from 1 species
UUUUUUUUCUACUUGUGUUUUAUUAAUUAAGGGUUUGGAUUCUGAAUUCAAAUUGGGCUGAUUAACUAUUUGUGGGCCUAUUGGGCUAUGGGGGCAGGAACUCAGUCUCAGCCCAUUGAGCGAACAUUGUGCUGUUAAGGAGUCAUCCUCUGUUUUCGGUCCUACCUUGGCUAGGGUUCCAUAAUCGACAAUUGUGAAGCACUGUUUUGUUCAUCAUCUGCAUUUGGAGUUGUAACCUUCCAUCGUUCGUAUCUCUCUUCCACCACAACUGCGCCGACAUCACUCAAUCUAAUGGCACCUCCUCCAGGACCUUAUUCCGGUGCCAGCACCCUAGCUUUGGUCGCUAGAGCUUCCGCUUUCUCCUUCGGUGUUGUUUAUGGAAGCAUCAAGCUCAAGUACCUUAAGGCAAAAGCCAAGUCUCAUAAAAAAGCUCAGGAGAAGGCUCAUCACUGAAAAAGAGAGAGAUGCCUGGGUUGUUAUCUUUCUGAGGAUGGAGUAGAUAACUGAAAUAAUUCAUGACAACAAACUGUACCAUGUCUUCUCCCAUUUUUUUUUCUGGUUUAAGCUUUGGACAAUCUUGAAGCAUUGAGUUUAAUGCAUUAUGAAAAUAUUCAAUAUUUUGCCUUGUUAUAAUAAAUACGAUGU